AUUGAACGCUAGCGGGAUGCCUUACACAUGCAAGUCGAACGGAGUGGCGAACGGGUGAGUAAUGUAUCGGAACGUGCCCAGUAGCGGUGGAUAACUACGCGAAAGCGUAGCUAAUACCGCAUACUAUUGGAGCGGCCGAUAUCGGAUUAGUUAGUCGGGGGGGUAACGGCUCACCAAGACGACGAUCCGUAGAUGGUUUGAGAGGACGACCAGCCACACUGUGAAUGAGACGCAGCCCAGCCUCCUACGGGAGGCAGCGAUGGGGAAUUUUGGACAGUGGAGGAAACCCUGAUGCAGCCAUCCCGCAUGUGAGAUGAAGGACUUCGGGUUGUGAAGCACUAUUGGCAGGAAAGCAGUGCCUGCGGAGUAAGCACCGGCUAGCUACGAGCCAGCAGCCGCGGUAAUAC
rnacentral:rRNA from 1 species